AAUCAACGCUGGCGGCGUGCCUAACACAUGCAAGUCGAACGAGAAAGGGACUUCGGUCCUGAGUAUAGUGGCGCACGGGUGAGUAACACGUGAAUAAUCUACCUCCGAGUGGGGAAUAACUGAGAGAAAUCUUAGCUAAUACCGCAUAACACUUACGAGUCAAAGCAGCAAUGCGCUUGGAGAGGAGUUCGCGGCCGAUUAGUUAGUUGGCGGGGUAAUGGCCCACCAAGACGAUGAUCGGUAUCCGGCCUGAGAGGGCGCACGGACACACUGGAACUGAAACACGGUCCAGACUCCUACGGGAGGCAGCAGUGGGGAAUUUUGCGCAAUGGGGGAAACCCUGACGCAGCAACGCCGCGUGGAGGAUGAAGUAUCUCGGUACGUAAACUCCUUUCGAUGGGGAAGAUAAUGACGGUACCCAUAGAAGAAGCCCCGGCUAACUUCGUGCCAGCAGCCGCGGUAAUACGAGGGGGGCAAGCGUUGUUCGGAUUUAUUGGGCGUAAAGGGUGCGUAGGCGGUUUGGCAAGUCUUGUGUGAAAUCUAUGGGCUCAACCCAUAGCCUGCACGAGAAACUACCG
rnacentral:rRNA from 1 species